CAGCUAGCUAGCGCUCGUGUGUGGUGCAGGUGGUAUGCGGCUGGAGUCCAUGAAACUUGUGUUCGUCAAAUUCCUUCAUCAUGUUCAUGCUUUGAAGCCAGUGUUUACAGGUCUCAUUUCUGUUAGGACACCAGGCUUGAAGGCUAGAUGCUGCCCCCGCUCUAUGAUGAGAUAUGACACGCAACACCCCUCAGUUUGUAUUGAUUCCUAGCCAUGCACUCUCCAAGCCAGUCUCCAGGACCUACUCCACCGGCAGAACCUUCAUCCACACUGCAGUCCGUGUCUGGAACAGUCUCCUAGAUGGUGAAGUGGGAGAGAUCAAAGACAGUGGUGCUCCGUUCUUCAGCUGUAGGGUGCAUCAACAUCUCCUGUCAACACAUUGAUUUGCUGCAUGCAAGUCCCUACAUCUAUCCAGUUCCUGUUCUGAUGUAGCAGCCUUCCCAGCCCAUGACUCUGUUCAGGUUUGGUGCAUGUAAC